UCUUCAGACUCCCCAGCCCAUCUGUGUGACAGCUCAGAAACACAAUUCCAAGGGGCUUCUAUUUCUAGUACCUUCUCUUGUACAGCGGAUACAUGGUCCCAGACUUCACACAGAAAGGGCUAGAGGAUCCAUCCUCCUUUGCACCGUCACAAUCCAUAGUUGAUAGACCCUUGGAGUCAGGAAGACCUGGGUUCAAGUCUUGCCUUUGACACAUCCCAGCUGUUUGACCCUGGACAAAUCGGGGACAACCAAUUCUAAGGAUGGGACGUUUCCAGCCUUGGGAUUGACCUACAGGAAGAGCCUGAGUUUGAGAGUUGGGCACUCUCUUCACUGAGGAAAAGGUUUUCUUAACAGCAUACUUCUCAAAGCAGAAGAAAAUCCUCCAUAGAGGCAAUCCCUGAAGCUGCUAAAGAGGAAGGACCAAAGCAUGCCAUGAAGGGCCGGGAGAUGUGGACCUUGCCAACCUUCUAUGAUUUUGCUUUGGAACUGCUUGGAAUGUGUAGGUCUGAGGCAAAUAGGGAGUAUCUGGUCAAUUGCCCCACAAAGUGUUUUCACCUUCUGAAGGGAAUCUAAUAGACUAUUUGAAUCCUGAAUCUAUUAUACUAUUUGAAUAUUUUAUGUUCUUUAUUUGUUCAUGGGUAUC